UCCACGAGGAGACUAAGUGGCAGGCAGGCUGACUAGCUGUUAUGCAAGUGCAGCAAGGAGUGCAGCAAGUGCAGCGGAAGAUGGACAUCCAGAGUGGCAUACAAAAGGCAGUGGAGCCCCUCCCUACCUCUCUCCCCUCCUCCCCUCAACAGUCGGGUGCCCAUCAGCAGAGCGAGCCGGAGGACAGCCAGGCAGAGCAGAGCGCCAGGCCCACCGCUGACAACCACAGCAAGGACACCCAGCCAGCCGCCGGCCACCGAGACGACAAAAAAUAUUUCAGUGUGGAGUCGAUUGAUGGGACUAUGUUUCAUGAAGCCAUUAGAAGACUGUUGCUGACUGAGAGGAGACUCUGUUUCUCCACCCUCAGCCUCUCUGAUGGACUGUAUCCACCACCGUGCUACAAAUACUCAAAAUGUGAAUCUGAAGGAUGGCACCCUGAGCCUGAGAUGGUGUGGCUGGACAGUAAAAGAGUCAAUCUCAAAUGUGAAAAUUGUUCAAGGGGGCUGUCAGGAGAAACACUUUCACAUCCAAGGUUACAGAUGGAGAGACAGAGAAGUUCGUCAUAAGGUGGCUGCAGCUUGCACCAGACAGAGACGGACACAGGAAGGAGAGGACCGAACACAGCAAGGAAAGGGCAGAUAGACCCCAAGAGAAAUAGAUACAUUGACAUACACGCAUACAUACAUGGGAUAAAGGGAUGAACACUGACUCUUUGUACAUUAUCUGGAAAUAAUGGACGACUUGGUACUGCCCGAGUUUAUUAGUUCCAAGUAAUGUACAGAGCGGAGGCGUUUAUCCCGCUUAUUCCACGGUUGCCAAAGAAAACAAGACCACAUUUACUGGUAAAAAUGUACAUGUUUUCUUUGAGAUUAGAAUUUUGAUAAGUAAAUUCAUGCUAUUUCAUCCUUCCCGUUGUGCUGUCGGUUCGGUUGAUAGAGAAGCGGACUUGUUGUUCAUUCGAUUAAUUUGAUUGCUAUGCAGGCUGGCAAUGUUCUUAUCCCUUACUUGCUAGGUAGCCAACUAUGGCUAACCCAGUCGCUUCAACUAUGCACAGAAUAACAUCAAAGUAGCUGCAUUAGCGUUUUUUUUAAGCUGUUUUCUAGUGACAUUUAUUUGGAUAUGACCAUGCUACUGUACCUAAGUAGUACUUGUUGAGGGAUGACACGCACUCAAAAGUAAAUUUCAUAUAUUUAAAUAAAAAAGGUAAAAUGAGAAAA
ensembl:lncRNA